CUAUGGAUUCAAAUGUGUUUACAGAAGAUUUGACAGCAAAUGUCAAGUUGAAAUGGAAAAUUGUCUUAAGAUGUUUAGUGCCGGUAUUUUAUUUUUUUAAUUGUCUUGUUUGCAUGCAAGCUCUCUUAGCUUUUUGAGUCAUGCUGCCAGCUGUUCUUACGCACAACAAUCACCCAGUAUGACAUCAUCACUGGUCGCCCCUCUGAGAGCAGCGAGGGUUCCACCCAAUGUUGCAAACCAGGCUUGUGAUUUCUGGAACUAACUUCAGAUGAUUUACUUGCAUGUCCUUCAUUUUAUGUUUCCCUGAUGCUUCUUCUCAAAUAACAUUUUCUGUACAGUGUUUUAUCUGAUUGUUCACUGACUUGCGUUUGCACAGGGUGGAGGCAUCAGAAUCAUUCCUCUUGGCACUCAGAAGCCAGAUCCUUAGAAGAUAAACAAACAAGAAUACUCAGCUUUUAAAACAGGCAUUUGUCUAUCUGUCCGUGUACAAGUGGAAGUCCAUUUUCUUGCAGGCAUGUUUUUGUACAUACAGUGGUGUCUGUGUGUUCUUCUCAUCAGCCUGGAGAGGCAGGUUCAGGAUAAGGAGAUGUCGGAGAGGGAGCUGUACUCGCGUUUUGUCAUGGUGCUGAACGAGAAGAAGGCCAAGAUUCGAGGCUUGCAGGACGUUCUCCGCCAGCUCCAACAGACGGAUGACCAGCAGAGAGAGGAGGAGGGGAGACAACGUGACAAUGACACAACUCAUGGUGAGGACGGCAGCCAGGACAGAGGAGAGGAGUCCGUUCAGAGCUUCCAUCCAUCUCAGGAGCCAACUAUCCUCAUCACAGGUCGUGAUCUGGUGUGCCAGGGCAUCUCUUUGGACCGGACUUUUUCUGAUGAUGAAGAUGAACAACCGAGACGAAAGCGGAAGUUACUUCACACCCUGAGCCCAGAGUCUUGCGAGCGGGAGUAAAAUCACAGCUGCCCUUCGUUCUGUAGAUGUUCUGUGGCCCAAACUACCUGAGGGGUGUUUGCAGAGGGUUAAUAGAGUUAUGUUGUCUCUCAUCGUCUUCACCUCCUCACCUCUUCCUUUACCUCUGCUACCAGCUUUAGGUCCUGAGGUCAUCACAGUGUGUCUUCACACUGACAGUAAUGAACCCACGGAGAAUUUUCAGGGUCUUUAUCUGACCAUUCUACCUUUGACUUGUGGACCUUCAUGGUGUCUGUUAUGAUGCUGAUGAUACCUACAUGUCGGCUGAAGUCAACGGGCAGCCGCCAGGAUAAUCCCACAACACGUGCUCGCUGGUUUAGUAAUCCCCACAGGAAUGUCACACUCUCUCCUCUAUACAUCCCAUCAAUACAACAUAAAAGGGAAGUCCAGAUCAGUUUCUAAGAAUACACAACAGAUGAGCACAUGGCAAAGUGUAAUGGAGGAGAGCAAAAAGUGUGAAAGAUUGGGAGACUGUUCUGAGAAUUUCACCCACUGGUGUGUUUAUAUAUCAUAUAUUUUUUUUAAAGACGUUCCAAAUGUCUUCAUUUUAUUUGAUUUCAUUUGAAAUAAAUUAGAUUGAGAAGGUAUUGAAAAUACAGGAAAGAUACAUUCAUAUUUUGCUAUAUGCAAUAUUGUAAAUGUUUUUGUUUUGGGGGUAAAUAAACUUUGUGAAUUGUCUCACAAGAUGUUAAUUUCUACCUGACUUAAAUAAACAUUUUUUUUGCAAUAUUUUUGCCUUUUCAGUUUUUUCUGAAUCACAUGUGAUUGCCCAAGAUACAAGCAUCCAUUUUGUGAACUAGAGUAAACAGAUGGAUAAGGUUGAUGUGUCAUUGAAAAGUUUAUCUCUCACAGUCUAAUUAGUCUUUAAAACACCCAAUUACUUUUCAUACUAUAUCUACUAAUUGCUAUUUACUAAGUUGUUAAGUGUUUGAAAAUCAAACCUUGAA
ensembl:lncRNA